GAUGAAGAACGCAGCGAAAUGCGAUAAGUAAUGCGAAUUGCAGAAUUUCCGUGAGUCAUCGAAUCUUUGAACGCACAUUGCGCCCGCCAGUAUUCUGGCGGGCAUGCCUGUUCGAGCGUCAUUUCAACCCUCAAGCCCGCUGCGUGCUUGGUGUUGGGGACCGGCCCGCCCGCCUCGCGGCGGCGGCCGCCCCUGAAAUGAAUUGGCGGUCUCGCCGCAGCCUCCUUUGCGUAGUAGCACACCACCUCGCAACCGGGAGCGCGGCGCGGCCACUGCCGUAAAACGCCCAACUUCUCCAAGAGUUGACCUCGAAUCAGGUAGGAAUACCCGCUGAACUUAAGCAUAUCAAUAAGCGGAGGA
rnacentral:misc_RNA from 1 species